rnacentral:tRNA from 1 species
UGGCUCAGAUGGUAAAGAAUCUGCCUGCUAAGCAGGAGACCCGGGUUCGAUCCCUGG